rnacentral:rRNA from 1 species
UACAGAGGUCUCAAGCGUUGUUCGGAUUCAUUGGGCGUAAAGGGUGCGUAGGCGGCGCGGUAAGUCGGGUGUGAAAUCUCGGAGCUUAACUCCGAAACUGCAUUCGAUACUGCCGUGCUUGAGGACUGGAGAGGAAGGUGGAAUGCUUGGUGUAGAGGUGAAAUUCGUAGAGAUCAUGAGGAAGACCAGUGGCGAAGGCGGGUCUCUGGACAGUUCCUGACACUGAGACACGAAGGCCAGGGGAGCAAACGGG